UAAGACAGAGGGUGCAAACGUUGCUCGGAAUUACUGGGCGUAAAGCGCAUGUAGGCGGACGUGCAAGUCAGGUGUGAAAUCCCCGGGCUCAACCCGGGAAUUGCACUUGAAACUGCUCGUCUUGAGUACCGGAGAGGAUAGUGGAAUUCCUGGUGUAGAGGUGAAAUUCGUAGAUAUCAGGAGGAACACCGGUGGCGAAGGCGGCUAUCUGGACGGUCACUGACGCUGAGAUGCGAAAGCGUGGGGAGCAAACAGGAUUAGAUACCCUGGUAGUCCACGCUGUAAACGAUGGGUGCUAGGUGUCGCGGGUUUUGACCCCUGCGGUGCCGUAGCUAACGCGUUAAGCACCCCGCCUGGGGAGUACGGCCGCAAGGCUA
rnacentral:rRNA from 1 species